UACGGAGGGGGCUAGCGUUGUUCGGAAUUACUGGGCGUAAAGCGCGCGUAGGCGGCUUUGUAAGUUAGAGGUGAAAGCCCGGGGCUCAACCCCGGAACUGCCUUUAAGACUGCAUCGCUUGAAUCCAGGAGAGGUGAGUGGAAUUCCGAGUGUAGAGGUGAAAUUCGUAGAUAUUCGGAAGAACACCAGUGGCGAAGGCGACAUACUGGUCCAUUACUGACGCUGAGGCUCGAAAGCGUGGGGAGCAAACAGG
rnacentral:rRNA from 1 species